rnacentral:lncRNA from 1 species
CAGCACUGGGCCAGACAAUUCUCCAUGCCCUACAGGACAGGUAAGAUCGCCCCAACCCACACCCACCAGGCUGCAACAGCAAGCAGGAAGGUGACAGAAUCGGGCCAGGACAGCAGUGACCACUCCAUCAGGACGACGGGACACGGACAGCCUUGAACUCAGCUGGAAGGGAGAGCUGCCAACGCUCUCCAGGACAGGUAAGAUCACCCCAACCCACACCCACCAGGCUCUAACAGCAAGCCGGAAGGUGACACGAUCCGGCGGGGACACCAGGGACCGCUCCGUCAGGAUGACAGGAGACAGACGGAUGUGGUGAGAUGCUCAAAACCCUCGGGCACAGAGGCAGGGGCUGCCCGUGGUCACACGGGGAUGCUGCUCUGUUGUUCCUUCUC